UAUUAUGAAGUUCGAAUAUAUCUUUUGUUUUGCGUUAACAAACUAAGACUAAAUUCUAAUUUAUUUUGUGUUUUUCUCUAAUAAAAAAUAUAAGUUUAAAUUUAUAUUUCAGUAAUAAGAUUCAAUGCAUAUUCAUUAAGUAUUUCCCCAGACGAAUGGCAGAAAAAUGUGUUAUAUGCAUCUCAUUCUGGACUUAUUUUCAAGUGUUAACACCAACAAAAUGGGAGAGAUUAGAAAAUGUUUGCAUAUGUUUUUUUUCAAAAAUAAAAUAAAUUGUGCCCUUAUAUUGAAUUCAACCACUACGAGGUCGUGAAUAUUAUAUGCAUCACUUUUGUAUAUGCUUUUCCUUUUAAUAUUUAAAGUGAUAAUCUAUUAUGGUGCUUGGUAAUUUUGCAGGAAGUUUUCAUAUUUUUGUAAUUAGAGGACUUGCGAGAGAUAGUGAAAUCCAAGAGGGUAGUGUUCUGGAAGCUGAAGUUGAGCUGUUCAAGAAGUUUUUAGAGACAAGCAGUGCUUCCAUAGCAACGCUAAGGAAAUUGGCUUCAUUAAGGAUCUCCUCCGGCGUUUCCAUCAAAGCAGAGAAGAAGAAAACAUGACGGUGAAGAGGGGAAGCAUGACGGAAGAAGGAGAAGAGGGUGGAGACAGAGGUGGCUGUGACAGAUAAGAAGGCUAGAUCGAGAGAGAAGGGAAGAGGAGACAGGAACUACAAGUUCGACUACACCUAUCAGUAGCACAAGUUCUGUUAACAAUUCAAAUGCUCAAAGAUGAGGUGCAAGCUUUGUUUGAUGAUGCUGGAAAGCGUAUUGAUUUAGCCACACCCUUGCCACACCCUAUACCGUACAGGUUGUACAAGAUUUGGUAUUAAUGAUGGGAAACUUUUGAGGUGCUCAUACUACCGAAAUUUGGUUGGAGCCUGGAUGACAGAUAUAUCGUGAUGUAUGAUAGGGUGCCGGAGUUUAGAUAAAGUGUGAUGGAAUUCAAAGGUCUCAAGAACAAAGCUCAUCCAUUCCUAUUCACCUGCUUCUAUGAAAUUGGUUUAUUCCAAUGCACCGGAUGGGAAUGAACCAUUGGCUUUGGACAUGGGAAGCAUGGGGAAGGUCAGGUAUAGAUUAAUGGAUAGAGCAUACGAAGAUACUGGAAUGCUGCGAAUGAAGGAUGGUUGUUAGGGAUGGUCUUUUGAUGUCUAAUGCAGUACUAGAGUAUGCGUGUAAUGUUCUUCUUAAGAACAUCUGAGGUGGUGACCUACAAUUGCAAGUAAAAUUUUUAGUCUCUAUAAUUCUUUGUUGUGGUCUCCGAUGGAGUCUUUGAUUAUGCCAACAAUGUCCUCCAGGAACAAUUUUCCUGACAAUGCUCAAGGUGUGAAAUCUGCUGCAAAGUGCUUUGACUGAAGUUGCACCUGCAAAAGCGGCGGCAGAAUUUACAAUGUGAAUAUCAGAAGUAAAUCCUUCUCUUGCUAAGGAGGCAUUACAGGAAUUCACGAAUAUGAUAACCAAUCUAGAAAUCAAACAAGAAGAUUUGAAGUUGAAAGUAAAGCGCAGGAUAAAAUAGUAGAACAUGAUGUUUUUUGAGCAAAUCAUUCGUUCUAGGAGACGGUUUAUGCAAGCUUGAGUGUUAAAGUUGAAAACAAGAGAACUUAAGUAAUAAAGUAUGGAUUAUG